AGGAUUUGCCACAUUCUUCACAUCUGUAAGCUGUUUCACCUGUAUGGAUUCUGUGAUGAUCUUGAAGAUGUGAGUUACAGGUAAAGGAUUUCCCACAUUCUUCACAUCGCUAAGGUUUGUCACCAGUAUGGAUUCUGUGAUGAACCCGAAGACUUAAGACCUGGAUAAAGGACUUGCGAGGCUCUUCACACCUAUAAGCUUUAUCAGCAGCAUGGAUUGAAGAAAUGAGUAAAAGGGCAUAUUGACAUUUGAGGAUGUGGUCAUAGACUUCUCUCAGGAGGAAUGGGAAUGCCUAGAUUCUGAACAGAGGGCUUUGUACCGGAUGUCAUGUUGGAGAACUACAGCAACCUAGUCUCUGUGGGUCUUACAAAACAAGAGCUGAUAAACUCUCUUGAACAAAGCAAAGAGCCUUGGAAUGUGAACACAGGAGAGACAGAAGACAAAGAGCAAGCUAGAACUUCAAGGACAAUAUUGAAGAGAUACGGAGAGAGUGAACACGCUAGUCUUGUUCCUGAUUUUAGAGGAAUCACUUUGAAUUUCUCUCCAUUUAGUUUGAUGUUG
rnacentral:lncRNA from 1 species